AAAAGGCUAUUCUGAACAAAAAAAUACCUGCACUAACAAACUGACCCUUCUAGAGGCACCCACCUUUGAUGGUCGACUCGGUUGUCUCAGAAUCCUAGGUAUCACUAUGGCCUGAUCUGCUGCCCUAUGGUGCAUACUUAUUAGCUAAACUAUGCAUACAUAUGCUGCAAGUAGCUGCAGCAACACAUACUUGCCGACUGGAACUUCUCCAAGUCCCCCGCUAAAUAUGUCCCUUCCAGUUACACAUCCUUACAGGGCCUUUGCUAAUAAUCAUUUUGAAAAUCAUGCAGACCUUUAUCAUUUAAUCCAUGACAAACUGCAAAGGAUGAAGAUAUUACCCAUAUUUUCCUGCAACUUAUCCAAUAUAUAGUUCAUUAAAUACGCCUUCGUCCAUUUAGUACUACUAAAUUGUAAAUUUCAACAUACUAAAACUGGUUUCUGACCAUCAGAAUUCUGUCAAAUCUUCCCCAAAGUCCAGGAAAUGGCACUUCAGAGACUUUACAUUUAAAA